rnacentral:rRNA from 1 species
AGAGUUUGAUCAUUGCUCAUGAUGAACGCUGUGCAGUGUGUCCUUAACACUGCNAGUCGCAACGCGAGAAGAUAAGAGACUUGCUCUUUAUCUUUUAAUGGCGAACGCGGUGNAAUAUACACGUUGGUGUACACUAACCUCACAGAAGCGAAUAUACGCCGCGGAAACUGGUGCUAAUAUCGCCAUAAUCUCGGCAGUUAUGUAACUGCGAAUNAAGAGAUUCAUUGCUUGAAGAUUGGCCCGCGGGACACAUCAGACUAAUUGUGUAAGGUNAAGGCUNACAAAGGCGANGANGGAUAAGCGAACUNAGAAGGUUANACGGCACCAGGGGCACUGAGACACGGGCCCCACUCCUACGGGGAGGCAGCAGUUAGGAAUUCUUCCCCAAUGGGCCGCCAGCCUUGAGGGAACGAAACUUGGCGUUGGAAGGAUUGACGGGCCUUUCGGGGUUUGGUUAAACUUCUUGAAACGAGGUGGACGAUAGGUGACCGGUAAACUCGGGAAAAAGCACCGGGCUAACUCCGGUGCCAAGCAGCCGCGGUAAUACGGAGGGUGCGAGCGUUAUCCGGAAUCACUGGGCGUAAAGGGCGCGUAGGCGGUUUAGUAAGUCCGAUGUUAAAGCGUGGGGCUCAACCCCAUCACGGCGUUGGAUACUGUUAAGCUAGACGACUGGAGAGGGAGGUAGAAUUACCAGAGUAGCGGUGGAAUGCGUAGAUACUGGUAGGAAUACCCAUAGCGAAGGCAGCCUUCUGGACAGUUAGUGACGCUGAGGCGCGAAAGUGUGGGGAGCGAACCGGAUUAGAUACCCGGGUAGUCCACACCCUAAACGAUGCAUACUUGG